CAAGCAAUUCUCUUCCCUCAGCCUCCCGAGUAGCUGGAAUUACAGAGCCCCAGCCUGUGUGGCCCUGCGACCUGCAGGUACUGAAGAUCUACAGCAAAAGGCCACUGAAAGCCUAGAAAUGGCCAGAAAAACUUGAAAAAAACACAGACUCUUCCACUUACUGGAUGUUUGACAAAAUGAUCUUUUGGGGCCAAAACAUUGGCAUUACUGGGACUGCUGACAUUUAGGGAUGUGGCCAUAGAAUUCUCUCUGGUGGAGUAGCAGUGCCUGGACACUGCACAGCAGAAUUUAUAGAGGAAUGUGAUGAAAACCUGGCCUUCCUGGGUAUUGCUGUUUUUAAGCCAGACCUGAUCACCUGUCUGGAGCAAGAAAAAGAGUCCUGGCAUAUGAAGUGACAUGAGAUGGUGGAUGAACCCCCAGGUAGGUGAGAGUGAAUACAACAGAUGACAUGGAUGAGGGGUUCAAGUCAAGAAGAAAGCAAGUUCUUAAAGUGAUUUGGGAAGCUGUGUUAGAAAGGAAAUAGUUUCUCAAAAGCCUGAAAAUUUUUAAAAAUUUUACUCUCACAUAGGGACGUCUUCUGUCUUAUGUUUAUAAAAUUUCUAAGAAUUCUAAUUUCCUUUCAGUGUUCUUCCUUCAAAUUUACAGUGACAGCUAAAGUACUGUUCAUGACAUACAAAAAGAGUGUACAAUCUGACUUUUUUUUUCUUGUUUAUGUGGACAGAAAUCUCCAUAAUUUUGAGAUACUCUAUGUUAAACUAUUUUUAAGUUCUCUUUUUACAUCACGUCUGAAAUGCAUGAGAGUGGUGCUUUCUGUUUCAUGG